GAUCCUGGCUCAGGAUGAACGCUAGCUACAGGCUUAACACAUGCAAGUCGAGGGGAAACGACAUCGAAAGCUUGCUUUUGAUGGGCGUCGACCGGCGCACGGGUGAGUAACGCGUAUCCAACCUGCCCAUCACUUGGGAAUAACCUUGCGAAAGUAAGACUAAUGCCCAAUGAUAUCCCACGAAUGCACGUACCGAAGUAGGGUAAUUAAAGUAUUUAGUCGGUGAGUGGUAGGUGGGAUG
rnacentral:rRNA from 1 species